GCCCUGAUAGCUCAGACGGUAGAGCGUUACCUUGGUAAGGUAAAGGUCGCGAGUAAGCCUUUUUCUUUCCA
rnacentral:tRNA from 1 species